AAAAAUGAUUUUGAGAUAAGUUUUAAAGAAUUUAUACCAAACAAGGACUAGAUAAGUUAUUAUCAUAUCUAAUAGCUUAACCGUUUUAGACGAUACCUUACAUCCCGAACAUUCUAUUGCACCUUCGCCUCUACAUGUUUGGCACUUACUCGUGAUCUGUUGCAUGAUAUCAUAUUGCACAAAAAUACUGUGUGAAUCAUAGAGAUACAAAACAUGAUUCGAUAUAGUUUCGACUCUUAACAUAAGCCCAACUCUAAAGGCAUUCAAAAUUUCGACAGGUACCCUAUGAGGGUGUCGACAUACCUACGAACCAAGUGCUAUUCAGUCAAGCAUACCAUAUAUGUAGAAAUUAACGAGGUUUAAAAAGUACGUACUGAUUUCAAAGAGAAGCCACCAGAUUUUGCAGCAUGUAGUGUAAAAGUCUUUCCUCUCUGUUGCUUUUCACUUUCUG
rnacentral:lncRNA from 1 species